UCUUGGUAGUUUUAGGUGGAUGGGGGUUGGUGGAGGGAUGGUCUGGGGCUGAGGAACAUCUCUCAGAGGCCAUCCCCUAGGCGAUCUCUCCACCUCUGCACCUCACUUGGUGGUCCUGAGCAAUCUCCUGGAUGCGAGAAAAGUAGUUCUUGCUGGGGCUCUCCAAAUGUUGUGGGUCAGGUCGCUCAGAAAACACACCAAGUUCCAGUUUUGUCCAAAUUGAAGAGUUUUUAUUUAGCUGGCCAGCCAGUGACUGCUCCCCACAGGAUCCAUAACUGUCUCUGCAAGGAACAGCCCCAAGCCUGAGCAUUUUAGGAUAUUUAAAGGCAAAAACUACAUCUGGGUUGAUGUAGCUAUAAGUAAGCAGGCACAGAAGCUGGAUUGGGCAGUUAGCGAGACAAUGCAAAGGGUACAUUGGUAUUUCCCACGGGACUCUCCAGGUUGGCAUAGCAGCAAGCAAGCAGAAGGGAAGUGAGUCAAAAUGACGCUAAUUCAGUACAAGUUAGAGAAUGGUAACUAAUGUCUAGACAAUCAAUUUCUGACAAGGUCCAUUGCCCAAGAAAAAUGGAAAGCAAAGAAAACACUUUUACAUUGCAUAAGAAUUGCUAUUUUGUGUUGCCAAGUAUGUUAUGCUAGGUAACUAUUAAUGGGUACAGAGGUGGAGCUUUUCCAUGGGAGAAGCAUUUCUUACAUGAUAUGGAGUCUCAAGGUAAAAUGGAGUCUGUUGGAUUAUUACCCAGAUAGCCUGGCUCAUAAAAACAAAAAUAUGUAGGGCACCCCCUCUCUCCCAGGGCUUCCAUUUUAAAUUGACAAGUAUGAGGUAAGAGAAAUCCUGUGAAAAAUAAGGCAGGAGGUGGUUAGUGGAAGGAAAAUAAAUAAAAUAAUAUUGGCAAGUAUGAUGCCCUGGUUAGAAGCAAGAAUGGGGAGUUUCAGAAAUGCAGGGAAAUGGUACUUGUGCUGAGUCUUCAGGCACAGGAAGCCCAAUGAAGGGAACACACAGCCCACUGGGCAGUGUGAGGACCAGUUAGAGGCCUGGCAUUAUGCACAGAGUGCUGCCAUCCAGUGGUAUGUCUGAAGUAAGGUCACAUAAAGCUGUCUGAAGCUGAAAAAAUUCCUAGACCCUGCUCUGGGUCUGCAUAUUUCCUAAACUCACUUGAUGAAGAUUUUCAUGGUCCUUGUUAAAAGCUGCUUUCCA
rnacentral:lncRNA from 1 species